rnacentral:rRNA from 1 species
UACGGAGGGUGCAAGCGUUAUCCGGAUUCACUGGGUUUAAAGGGUGCGUAGGUGGGCAGUUAAGUCAGUGGUGAAAUCUCCGGGCUUAACCCGGAAACUGCCCUUGAUACUAUCUGUCUUGAAUACCGUGGAGGUGAGCGGAAUAUGUCAUGUAGCGGUGAAAUGCUUAGAUAUGACAUAGAACACCAAUUGCGAAGGCAGCUCACUACACGAAUAUUGACACUGAGGCACGAAAGCGUGGGGAUCAAACAGG